AAAACAAUUAUAGCGCCAGUACUAAGGAAAUGAGUAACCUUAGUAGACGAGGAAGAGGUUUAUCGAAUCAUUCGGCGGAUGCCUCUCGGUUAAGCAAUCGUUAGCGCACUGUAAAGCGACUAGGUGACUAGGCGUACAGGUCAGUGACGCACGCAUAUAA
rfam:Lysinibacillus sp. BF-4 contig00041, whole genome shotgun sequence.